GCAGCAAAAAGAAUGCCCAGAAGGAAGCUGCCUGCAGCAAGUGAGAUCCUGCUAAGUUAAUCAAGCUUGCUGCCCUGUCUCCCUUGCUGAGAAAUUUCUAAGUUUCUCCUGCCACAGUGGCCUAGCCAACAGCAGAGGAGCUGAGUGAGGACCUACAGACAGAUCCAAGUGGAUCUCUAUCAACAAAUUAGUUGACAAGGUGUGCUAGUUAUUUAAGAAGGAGGAGAAAUGUGGAAGAUUUACGUUGAAGAUGAGCAUAUCACUCCCUGGAAGGCCAUCUCAGAAAAGCCAGUGAGGAGACUAGGCAGGAUCUCACUCACGUGGCCAAGAAGCAUCAUGGGGGACUGCCUCAGACCUAAAGCGCUUACUAGAAAUUCCUGUUAGUGUGUAUACUUUUACAAGUCUGGACUUACCAAGGCAGGUGUGACUGCCACCCUUGCCUCUUAGACUACUCUGCGACUCUGUGUGCUCAAGCAACAACAACUGGUUUUCUUAAUUUCUGAUUUGAGUAACAGUGAGCGAGUAGCUCAGUUUAAAGCCAAGCCAUACAGUUGUUUCCCCAAGUUUACUUUUUUGGCAGAGAUGGAGCAGACAAUGAAGAAAUAACAAAAGCAGGCAUAGAACAUCUUCUCUCAGAGCUCUGAGUAGAUGGGGAGGAGGAACAUGAGCUCCAUUGUCAUCCAUGCAGACUCAAAGUAUCUGGAGUGGCCCUGGCACUAGAGUGAGACUCUGUGGCGAGGAGGAUGUAGACUCCAAACAGGAGGAACAGGCUUUGCAAACACCGUGCAGUGGGAACUUCUGAGAAGCUGUGGAGGAGGCCUAGAGGGAUGCUUACAGACUGGAGCUGGAAAAUCAGAAUAUUCACUCUAAGACGAUAACUGUAUUUGCAUUUUAAGGAAUAGAUUGUAUUGGGGAGAGGAAGAAGAUUGAAGAUGGUGGCUUACUUAGACGCUCUAAGUAGAAAAUGUGUGUCUUAUGAAUACAUUUUAAAACUAAGUCGUGGUAUCUUGCUUUCAAGGAACACUUUAAAGUUGUUAGUUAAAGUAGAGGAUAUAGUUAUUAAUUCUAGAGUUCUCAUAAUUCAUGAAGAUCAAAGAGCUUUAUGUUUUUCUUGUGCUUCAUAAAUAUUAAAGGUUAAACAAACAGCUUUAAUCUAUGUGAUAAAACUGGUCUCCAUUACUGAACAGAAAAUUGUGAGCAAAAAUUUUAACUUCCUUAAGCCUGUGUUGUCGUGUUUUCAUUAAGCUAUUUUAGCAAACUUCUGUAUACGAAGUGGGCUUCCACUGAGAUGAGAAGGGGUAUUAAUGUUGUCAUCUUCUAGUUAAUCCCAAUAAAGUGUGAAGGGCUAACGUCAGUAAGGUGCAAUUCUGGAAAACAGGGACCAGGAUUCCUUUUUAUAACUUUUAAUGCACUCCAGUGCCCAGAAAUAUUGUUAAUAGAGAAGGAAGUUUAGUUAAUUCACAGAGGUUUCUUUUUUGAAAAAUAUGUUCGAUAAUGUGUUACAAAGAAGUGUUAAGUCAAUGAAUUUAGAUAACUUAGCAUGGAGAUAUUAGAGACCAUUGUAAAGAGAAUUCAGUUUUUUUUUCUCACGCACAUCAUGAGAAAACAGAGUUUCAUUCUGUAGUAAAUAAAAAGAAAGUGUGUUACUUGGAGUAAAA